rnacentral:rRNA from 1 species
UGAGGAAUAUUGGUCAAUGGGGGCAACCCUGAACCAGCAAAGUCGCGUGAAGGAUGAAGGUCUUAUGGAUUGUAAACUUCUUUUAUACAGGAAUAAAUUGGGGGACGUGUCCCCUUUUGCAUGUACUGUAUGAAUAAGGAUCGGCUAACUCCGUGCCAGCAGCCGCGGUAAUACGGAGGAUCCGAGCGUUAUCCGGAUUUAUUGGGUUUAAAGGGUGCGCAGGCGGGAUGUUAAGUCGGCGGUGAAAUUUUGCAGCUCAACUGUAAAAGUGCCUUCGAUACUGGCUUCCUUGAGUGUAGAUGAAGUAGGCGGAAUUUGUGGUGUAGCGGUGAAAUGCUUAGAUAUCACGAGGAACUCCGAUUGCGCAGGCAGCUUACUAAACUACAACUGACGCUCAUGCACGAAGGCGUGGGGAUCGAACA